rnacentral:rRNA from 1 species
GGUGAGUAACACGUGGGCAAUCUGCCCUUCACUCUGGGACAAGCCCUGGAAACGGGGUCUAAUACCGGAUAACACUCUGUCCCGCAUGGGACGGGGUUAAAAGCUCCGGCGGUGAAGGAUGAGCCCGCGGCCUAUCAGCUUGUUGGUGGGGUAAUGGCCUACCAAGGCGACGACGGGUAGCCGGCCUGAGAGGGCGACCGGCCACACUGGGACUGAGACACGGCCCAGACUCCUACGGGAGGCAGCAGUGGGGAAUAUUGCACAAUGGGCGAAAGCCUGAUGCAGCGACGCCGCGUGAGGGAUGACGGCCUUCGGGUUGUAAACCUCUUUCAGCAGGGAAGAAGCGAAAGUGACGGUACCUGCAGAAGAAGCGCCGGCUAACUACGUGCCAGCAGCCGCGGUAAUACGUAGGGCGCAAGCGUUGUCCGGAAUUAUUGGGCGUAAAGAGCUCGUAGGCGGCUUGUCACGUCGGAUGUGAAAGCCCGGGGCUUAACCCCGGGUCUGCAUUCGAUACGGGCUAGCUAGAGUGUGGUAGGGGAGAUCGGAAUUCCUGGUGUAGCGGUGAAAUGCGCAGAUAUCAGGAGGAACACCGGUGGCGAAGGCGGAUCUCUGGGCCAUUACUGACGCUGAGGAGCGAAAGCGUGGGGAGCGAACAGGAUUAGAUACCCUGGUAGUCCACGCCGUAAACGUUGGGAACUAGGUGUUGGCGACAUUCCACGUCGUCGGUGCCGCAGCUAACGCAUUAAGUUCCCCGCCUGGGGAGUACGGCCGCAAGGCUAAAACUCAAAGGAAUUGACGGGGGCCCGCACAAGCAGCGGAGCAUGUGGCUUAAUUCGACGCAACGCGAAGAACCUUACCAAGGCUUGACAUAUACCGGAAAGCAUCAGAGAUGGUGCCCCCCUUGUGGUCGGUAUACAGGUGGUGCAUGGCCUGUCGUCAGCUCGUGUCGUGAGAUGUUGGGUUAAGUCCCGCAACGAGCGCAACCCUUGUUCUGUGUUGCCAGCAUGCCCUUCGGGGUGAUGGGGACUCACAGGAGACUGCCGGGGUCAACUCGGAGGAAGGUGGGGACGACGUCAAGUCAUCAUGCCCCUUAUGUCUUGGGCUGCACACGUGCUACAAUGGCCGGUACAAUGAGCUGCGAUGCCGCGAGGCGGAGCGAAUCUCAAAAAGCCGGUCUCAGUUCGGAUUGGGGUCUGCAACUCGACCCCAUGAAGUCGGAGUUGCUAGUAAUCGCAGAUCAGCAUUGCUGCGGUGAAUACGUUCCCGGGCCUUGUACACACCGCCCGUCA